GACGAACGCUGGCGGCGUGCCUAACACAUGCAAGUCGAACGGGACCGCAAGGUUCAGUGGCGAACGGGUGCGUAACACGUGAGAAACGUAGCCAUCGGCGGGGGAUAGCCGGUCCAACGACCGGGUAAUACCGCGUACGACCUUCGGGUGGCAUCACCUGGAGGUGAAAGACAGCAAUGCGCCGAUGGGGCGUCUCGCGGCCUAUCAGCUAGUUGGUGAGGUAACGGCUCACUAAGGCAACGACGGGUAGCUGGUCCGAGAGAUGACCAGCCACAUUGGGGACUGAGACACGGCCCAGACUCCUACGGGAGGCAGCAGUGGGGAAUAUUGCGCAAUGGGGGCAACCCUGACGCAGCGACGCCGCGUGUGGGAUGAAGGUC
rnacentral:rRNA from 1 species